rnacentral:rRNA from 1 species
GACGAACGCUGGCGGCGUGCUUAACACAUGCAAGUCGAACGGAAAGGCCCUGCUUUUGCGGGGUGCUCGAGUGGCGAACGGGUGAGUAACACGUGAGUAAGCUGCCCUUGACUGUGGGAUAACUUCAGGAAACUGGGGCUAAUACCGGGUAGGAGCUCCUGCUGCAUGGGGGGGGUUGGAAAGUUUCGGCGGUUGUGGAUGGACUCGCGGCUUACCAGCUGGUUGGUGGGGUAGGGGCUUACCAAGGGUUUGACGGGUAGGCGGCCUGAGAGGGUGAACGGCCACAAGGCGACUGCGGUACGGACCAGUCUCGUACAGGAGGCAAUGGGCGAAAACCUUGCACAAUCAGCCCGAGUCUGUGGCGAAGGCGUUCCGAUCGGAAAGACCGCUUACGUGUUAUAAACCGCUUUCGCCUGAGACGAAGCGGUAUUGACGGUACCGACUAAAGAAGCACCGGCUAACUACGUG